UACAGAGGGUGCAAGCGUUGUUCGGAAUUACUGGGCGUAAAGGGUGCGCAGGCGGCGUCGCAAGUCAGGCGUGAAAUCCCCGGGCUUAACCUGGGAACUGCACUUGAAACUACGAUGCUGGAGUAUGGCAGAGGGAGGUGGAAUUCCACGUGUAGCGGUGAAAUGCGUAGAGAUGUGGAGGAACACCGAUGGCGAAGGCAGCCUCCUGGGCCAAUACUGACGCUCAUGCACGAAAGCGUGGGGAGCAAACAGG
rnacentral:rRNA from 1 species